UAAUCUGACAAAAGAGGUUGUGUUCCCCUGCAAAGCAGGGUCCCGCUCUGCGGGAAAGGAACCGGGUGCAACUCCCGGACAGUGCCGCUACCGUUACAGUCGGAAAACUAACAACCCCAAUCCCGAGCAG
rfam:Microgenomates (Woesebacteria) bacterium GW2011_GWB1_40_101 TT72_C0032, whole genome shotgun sequence.